UUUGUAUAGCAGGAGACCGAAGUUCUCCUCCUCAUGGCCUGUCAGUCGCUUAGGUGCUGAACCUUUCUUGUCCCGGCGUUUCUGGCCAGCUGGGGAAGGUCUGGUUCUCUUCUUUCCUCUUUUUGGUCAUUGUCCAUGGUUUUCAGAAGACCUCCCAUGCUCAAAUCUGAGCUUUAUUAGUUUGAUGGUAUCCACAUCUUUUUGUUUCCUAUAAAAAUAAAAAUAAGUCUACACCCCAAGUGCAAUACAUUCACUGACUUAUAUUCUGAUGUUAACACAUCCUUAUAGUAUACAGGCUGAUUUAAUUCCACAUUUUUUUCUAUAACCCAGUUGUCAGCCACUGUUGUUCCUUUCACAUUAAUGUUCAGAAAAUUUAAAGUUAACAGCACUAGUCUAUCCUUCUGAGUCUUUAUUCUUCAAUUUUGUUUUAUAAGCAUUUCUUUUAAGAUGCGACUAGAUCUUUAAACAAUUGCUUGUCCUGUAGGAUUGUGUAGUAUACCUAUAAUAUGCCUGUGAUUUAUAUUAUAAUAUACAAAGACUUGCUUCAUUUUAUUGGAUACAUGUGCAGGGAUAUUGUCAGUCUUAAUUUGUUCAGGUAUCCCCACAAUAGCCAUUACUUCUAGUAAAUAUAUAAUCACAGAAUCAACCUUUUCAGAAAUCAAAGCAGUUGCCCAUUAAAAGCCUGUGUAUGUAUGGGGUAAAAACUUUAGUUUUCCAAAUUCUGCAAAAUGAAACACUUCCAUAUGCCAGACUUCAUUUCUUGUGGUACCCUUGGGGUUACUUCCAGUGGAUAAUGGGGUUUGGUUAUACAGAGAACAAGUAGGGCAUUUUCUUAUAAUUUCCUUGGCUUGUUGCCAAGUGAUAGAAAUUUUUUUCUUUAAACCUUUAUUGUUAACUUGGUUUUUUUUUUUAUGAACUAUUGAUGCUUCUAACAUAUUUCCUAUUAAUAAUUGGUCAAUUUCUUCAUUUCCUUGGGCUAAUGGACCUAGCAAGACUAUAUGAGACUGAAUAUGGGUGAUAUAUAAUGGAUAUUUUCUAUAUCUGAUUGCCUGUUGCACUUGUAUAAAUAAUGUUAAUUCUUAACUAUCAGGAAUAAAUUCAGUAGUUUCUAUAUGUGGAACAAUUCUUUCUGCAUAUUGAGAGCCAGUAAUUAAGAGGUUCAGGAAAAUCUAAUAGAACCAUAUGAAUUGCAUAGAACUCUAAUUUUUGAACUGAAAUAUUUGGACUUUGAAUUACUUUUGUUGUUUUUUUCCUGACUUAUAACCAGCUAUUCCCAAUUUAUUUGAAUUGGUAUAAAAUGUAGGUGCUCCAGGAAUUGGUUUCCUUUUACAGUGUGGGGGAGAAUCCAAUUAGUUCUUUUUAUAAACUGAAGACGCUUGCUUUUAGGAUAUUAGCUGUUAAUUUCUUCCAAAUAGUUGUUACAGGCUCUUUACCAAUCUUUAUUAAUUACUCAUAAUGGCAUAAUUAUAAGGCACUAUGAUUUCUGCUGAUUGCUGACAAUUGAUGUAGUCUUAUUCUUCCAUUUAUAAUUAAAUCAGAAACCUUUUAAAAUAUGUCUUUAUAAUUUUACUUUGUGUGCUAAGAAAAUCUAUUCUAAAAUACUAUCUUCCCUUUGCAUAAUGAGCCCAGUAGAAUGACUCUGAGGCAAAAUAACAAAAAUACAGUCCAGUUUGGGAUCUAUGCGAUCCAUAUAUACACCCUGCUGUCUUUUUACUGAAGUUAAUACUUUCUCUGUUUCAAUUGUUAGCUGUCUUGGACUGUCUAAGUCUGAAUCUCCUUGUAAUGUUUAAAACAAAGUACUUAACUCAUGAGUAGUUAAUCAUCCAGUGGUGUGCCAUAUCUAGUUAAUAUCUCCCAUUAAUUUUUGAAAAUCAUUAAAAGUUCAUAAC
ensembl:sense_intronic Gm43031 predicted gene 43031